rnacentral:rRNA from 1 species
AAAUUGAAGAGUUUGAUCAUGGCUCAGAUUGAACGCUGGCGGCAGGCCUAACACAUGCAAGUCGAGCGGUAGCACAGAGAGCUUGCUCUCGGGUGACGAGCGGCGGACGGGUGAGUAAUGUCUGGGAAACUG